UGUUUCAUCAUGUUUACCAUCAGGUGCCUGUGUUACUCCUUAUACCUUCACAACUGCCAUUGAUCCAGAUAAGCAAAACUACAACAACAAAAACAAUAAAAGUCCCAAAAUCAAAGUUUAUUAUGUUCACACCUAUCCGACACCCAGACACAUGCAUCCAAUGGUUUUUAAUACAAAACUUACUCCAUAAAACUACUAAUGCAUGCUUGCUUUGUGUUCUCUAAUGGCUGUUCAUAUUGAUGAAAGAGUAAUUUUAGUGUCUCUACAAACCAAUGUCAUUGCUUUGGUUUCUUCUUU
rnacentral:lncRNA from 1 species